GACGUAGGGCGCGAGCGUUGUCCGGAUUUAUUGGGCGUAAAGAGCUCGUAGGCGGCUUGUCGCGUCGGCUGUGAAAACCCGCGGCUCAACUGUGGGCGGGCAGCUGAUACGGGCAGGCUGGAGUUCGGUAGGGGAGACUGGAAUUCCUGGUGUAGCGGUGAAAUGCGUAGAUAUACGGAGGAAUACCUGAGGCGAAGGCGGGUUGCUGGGCCAACACUGACGCUGAGGCGCGAAAGCCAGGGGAGCAAACGGG
rnacentral:rRNA from 1 species